AGCCCGUUCCGCAGGAGGACGACGAAAGGGAUGCCUAGAGACUCUGUAGUCAUACUCAUAGCUUUAUUUUCGAGUUUCUCUUUUAGUUAGUUUAAUCUUUUAUAUUUUAAGCACGUUUUUAGUUUUCGUGUAAGGGAUAUUAAAUGAAAUUUUGAUCUCGCUUCCGCAUUUGAUAUAUUUAAAUACUCAUUUCAUUUUAAU
rnacentral:lncRNA from 1 species